GACGUAGGGCGCGAGCGUUGUCCGGAUUUAUUGGGCGUAAAGAGCUCGUAGGCGGCUUGUCGCGUCGUCCGUGAAAACUUGGGGCUCAACCCCAAGCUUGCGGUCGAUACGGGCAGGCUAGAGUUCGGUAGGGGAGACUGGAAUUCCUGGUGUAGCGGUGAAAUGCGCAGAUAUCUGGAGGAACACCGGUGGCGAAGGCGGCAUCCUGGACCGAGAUUGACGCUGAUGCGCGAAAGCCAGGGGAGCAAACGGG
rnacentral:rRNA from 1 species